UUCCGGUUGAUCCUGCCGGACCUUACUGCUAUCGGGGUGGGACUAAGACAUGCGAGUCGAGCGUCUCUAGCUAUGUUGAGACGCGGCAGACGGCUCAGUAACACGUGGCUAACCUACCUUCAGGACGAGGAUAAACCCGGGAAACUGGGGCUAAUACUCGAUAGGUGAGGAUGUCUGGAAUGACUUCUCAUCCAAAGGGCAUUGGAAACAUGCUUUCAAUGUCGCCUGGGGAUGGGGCCGCGUCCGAUCAGGUUGUUGGUGAGGUAACGGCUCACCAAGCCUAUAACCGGUACGGGCCGUGAGAGCGGUAGCCCGGAGAUGGGUACUGAGACAAGGACCCAGGCCCCACGGGGCGCAGCAGUCGCGAAAACUCCGCAAUGCACGAAAGUGUGACGGGGCUACCCCGAGUGCCAUCCGCUGAGGGUGGCUUUUCUUUGGUAUAACUAGCCAUGGGAAUAAGGAGAGGGCAAGACUGGUGUCAGCCGCCGCGGUAAUACCAGCUCUCCGAGUGGUAGGGAUGAUUAUUGGGCUUAAAGCGUCCGUAGCCGGCUUAGCAAGUCUCCUGUUAAAUUCAGCGACCUAAUCGUUGACCCGCGGGAGAUACUACUAGGCUAGGAGGCGGGAGAGGUCGACGGUACUUCUGGGGUAGGGGUGAAAUCCUAUAAUCCCGGGAGGACCACCAGUGGCGAAGGCUGUCGACUAGAACGCGCUCGACGGUGAGGGACGAAAGCUGGGGGAGCGAACCGGAUUAGAUACCCGGGUAGUCCCAGCCGUAAACGAUGCGAGCUAGGUGUUGGAAUGGCUACGUGCCAUUUCAGUGCCGCAGGGAAGCCAUUAAGCUCGCCGCCUGGGGAGUACGGCCGCAAGGCUGAAACUUAAAGGAAUUGGCGGGGGAGCACCACAAGGCGUGAAGCUUGCGGUUCAAUUGGAGUCAACGCCGGA
rnacentral:rRNA from 1 species